rnacentral:rRNA from 1 species
UACGGAGGGGGCGAGCGUUAUUCGGAAUUAUUGGGCGUAAAGGGCGCGUAGGCGGCUCGAUAAGUCAAAGGUGAAAUCCCUCGGCUCAACUGAGGAACUGCCUUUGAAACUGUCGAGCUCGAGUCCGGGAGGGGGUAGCGGAAUUCCCAGUGUAGCGGUGAAAUGUGUAGAUAUUGGGAGGAACACCAGUGGCGAAAGCGGCUACCUGGACCGGAACUGACGCUGAUGCGCGAAAGCGUGGGUAGCAAACAGG